CCUACGGGAGGCAGCAGUGGGGAAUCUUGCACAAUGGGCGGAACCCUGAUCCAGCUACGCCGCGUGAGCGAAGAUGUAUCUCGGUAUGUAAAACUCUAUCAGCAGGGAAGAAAAUGACGGUACCUGACUAAGAAGCCCCGUCUAACUACGUACCAGCAGCCACGGUAAUACGUCGGGCGCAAGCGUUCUCCGGAUUUACUGUGGGUAAAGGGAGCGCAGGCGGCGCGGUAAGUCUGAUGUGAAAGGCCCGGGCUUAACCUCGGGACUGCAUUGGAAACUGUCGUGCUGGAGUGUCGGAGGGGGAAGUGGAAUUCCUAGUGUAGCGGUGAAAUGCGUAGAUAUUAGGAGGAACACCAGUGGCGAAGGCGGCUUGCUGGACGACAACUGACGCUGAGGCUCGAAAGCGUGGGGAGCAAACAGGAUUAGAUACCCGGGUAGUC
rnacentral:rRNA from 1 species